GCGGGAGUAGAUCAAUUGGUUAGAUCAUCAGAUUGUGAUUCUGAGGGUUGCGGGUUCGAGUCCCGUCUCCUGCCCCA
rnacentral:tRNA from 1 species